GUUGCGGUUAAAAAGCUCGUAGUUGGAUUUCUGUUGAGGAUGACCGGUCCGCUCUUUGAGCGCGUAUCUGGUUCAGCCUUGGCAUCCUCUUGGGGAACGCUACUGUGCUUGAUUGCAUGGGGCGGUAUUCAAGACUUUUACUUUGAGGAAAUUAGAGUGUUCACUGCAAGCGUUAGCAAUUGAAUACAUUAGCAUGGAAUAAUAAUAUAGGACCUUGGUACUAUUUUGUUGGUUUCUAGAACUAAGGUAAUGAUUAAUAGGGACAAUUGGGGGCAUUCGUAUUACGCGUCAGAGGUGGAAUUCUUAGAUUGCGUUACGACGAACUACUGCGAAAGCAUUUGCCAAGGAUGUUUUCAUUGAUCAAGAACGAAAGUAUGGGGAUCGAAGACGCUUAGAUACCGUCGUAGUCUAUACCAUAAGCUAUGCCAACUAGAGAUUGGAGGUCGUUCUCUUUAUGACUCCUUCAGCACCUUAUGAGAAAUCAAAGUCUUUGGGUUCCGGGGGGAGUAUGGUCGCAAGGCUGAAACUUAAAGGAAUUGACGGAAAGGGCACCACCAGGAGUGGAGCCUGCGGCUUAAUUUGACUCAACACGGGAAAACUUACCAGGUCCAGACAUAGUAAGGAUUGACAGAUUGAUAGCUCUUUCU
rnacentral:rRNA from 1 species